rnacentral:rRNA from 1 species
UACGUAGGGUGCAAGCGUUGUCCGGAAUUAUUGGGCGUAAAGAGCUCGUAGGCGGUCUGUCACGUCGGCUGUGAAAACCCGAGGCUCAACCUCGGGCCUGCAGUCGAUACGGGCAGACUAGAGUUCGGUAGGGGAGACUGGAAUUGCCUGGUGCAGCGGUGAAAUGCGCAGAUAUCAGGAGGAACACCGAUGGCGAAGGCGAGUCUCUGGACAGUUACUGACGCUGAGGCACGAAGGCCAGGGGAGCAAACGGG